CGGCAAGAGCUCAAAUUUGAAAGCUGGCUCCUUCGGGGUCCGCAUUGUAAUUUGCAGAGGAUGCUUCGGGAGUGGCCCCCAUCUAAGUGCCCUGGAACGGGCCGUCAUAGAGGGUGAGAAUCCCGUAUGUGACUGGCUGCCUUCGCCUAUGUGAAGCUCUUUCGAC
rnacentral:rRNA from 1 species